rnacentral:rRNA from 12 species
UAAGAGAGUUUGAUCCUGGCUCAGGAUGAACGCUGGCGGUAUGCCUUAUACAUGCAAGUCGUACGAGAACUAAGUAAUUUAAGUUCUAGUGGCGAACGGGUGAGUAAUACAUAAGAAUUUGCCUUUAGGAAAAGGAUAACAGUUGGAAACGACUGCUAAUACUUUAUAAACUCAAAUAGAAAAAAGAGUUAAAAACUAUUCUAAGUUGAAAUUUUUUAAAUUUAGACUGUGCCUAAAGAAAAGCUUAUGGCUGAUUAGCUUGUUGGUAAGGUAAUAGCUUACCAAGGCGAAGAUCAGUAUCUGGUUUGAGAGGAUGAUCAGACACACUGGAACUGAGACACGGUCCAGACUCCUACGGGAGGCAGCAGUAGGGAAUUUUCCGCAAUGGGCGAAAGCCUGACGGAGCGAUACCGCGUGAGGGAUAUGGAGACCGUUUCCGCAGCCUCCGAAGGCCUACGGGUUGUAAACCUCUUUUCUCAUGGAAGAAAAAUGACAGUAAAUGAAGAAUAAGCAUCGGCUAACUCCGUGCCAGCAGCCGCGGUAAGACGGAGGAUGCAAGUGUUAUCCGGAAUCACUGGGCGUAAAGCGUCUGUAGGUGGUUUAUAUAAGUCAAUUGUUAAAGGUUAAUGCUCAACAUUAAAACUGCAGUUGAAACUAUUAAACUUGAGCAUGUUAGAGGUAACGGGAAUUUCCUGUGAAGCGGUGAAAUGCGUUGAUAUUGGAAAGAACACCGAUGGCGAAGGCACGUUACUGGGUCAUAGCUGACAUUGAGAGACGAAAGCUAAGGUAGCAAAUGGGAUUAGAUACCCCAGUAGUCUUAGCUGUAAACGAUGGAUACUAAAUGUUGAAGAAAUCCUUCAGUAUUGUAGUUAACGCGUUAAGUAUCCCGCCUGGGAAGUACGCUCGCAAGAGUAAAACUCAAAGGAAUUGACGGGGGCCUGCACAAGCGGUGGAGCAUGUGGUUUAAUUCGAUGGUACGCGAGGAACCUUACCUGGGCUCGAAUGUCUCUGCUGCCUUGAGAAAUCAAGGGUUCCUUCGGGACAGAGUACAAGGUGUUGCAUGGCCGUCGUCAGCUCGUGCCGUGAGGUGUUGGGUUAAGUCCCGCAACGAGCGCAACCC